UACGAAGGGUGCAAGCGUUACUCGGAAUUACUGGGCGUAAAGCGUGUGCAGGUGGUUCGUUAAGUCUGCUGUGAAAGCCCCGGGCUCAACCUGGGAAUGGCAGUGGAUACUGGCGAGCUGGAGUGCGGUAGAGGGUAGUGGAAUUCCCGGUGUAGCGGUGAAAUGCGUAGAGAUCGGGAGGAACACCUGUGGCGAAGGCGGCCGGCUGGGGGUGCCCUGACGCUGAGGCGCGAAAGCGUGGGGAGCGAACCGG
rnacentral:rRNA from 1 species